CCUACGGGCGGCAGCAGUGGGGAAUAUUGGUCAAUGGGCGCAAGCCUGAACCAGCCACGCCGCGUGAGUGAUGAAGGCCUUCGGGUUGUAAAGCUCUGUGGGGAGGGACGAAAACGGUCCGGAAGAAACGACGGAUCCUUGACGGUACCUCCUUAGCAAGCACCGGCUAACUCUGUGCCAGCAGCCGCGGUAAUACAGAGGGUGCGUACGUUGCUCGGAAUUACUGGGCGUAAAGCGCGUGUACGGAAGUGAAAUCCCCGGGCUCAACCCGGGAACUGCUUUCGAAACUGCCGUCCUCGAGUACCGGAGAGGGUGGCGGAAUUCCUGGUGUAGAGGUGAAAUUCGUAGAUAUCAGGAGGAACACCGGUGGCGAAGGCGGCCACCUGGACGGUUACUGACGCUGAGACGCGAAAGCGUGGGGAGCAAACAGGAUUAGAUACCCCGGUAGUC
rnacentral:rRNA from 1 species